rnacentral:piRNA from 9 species
UAAAAUUGGAACGAUACAGAGAAG